GACAGCGUGGCCGAGUGGUCUAAGGCAAUCGAUUCGAAAUCGAUGGACUUUGUCCCCGCAGGUUCGAAUCCUGCCGUUGUCG